GGCUAUAGCUCAGUUGGUAGAGUGCUUGCCCUGCAUGCACAAGGCCCUGGGUUUAAUCCCCAGCACAAAAGUUA
rnacentral:tRNA from 1 species